rnacentral:misc_RNA from 1 species
GAUGAAGAACGCAGCGAAAUGCGAUAAGUAAUGCGAAUUGCAGAAUCCGUGAGUCAUCGAAUCUUUGAACGCACAUUGCGCCCUUUGGUAUUCCGAAGGGCAUGCCUGUUCGAGCGUCAUUAUCACCGCUCAAGCCCGGCUUGCUGUUGGUGGCAGCGCAGCCGGUCAACCGGCUACGCUCCACCCAAAGAUAAUGACGGCGUCUGCGAGGACUCCUGUACAUUGAGCUUUCGGGCACGUACAUGGCUAGAAGUCCAGGCGCCGGUCGACGUCCUCCGGGACACUUUUUACCAAGGUUGACCUCGGAUCAGGUAGGGAUACCCGCUGAACUUAAGCAUAUCAAUAAGCGGAGGA